rnacentral:rRNA from 1 species
UACAGAGGGGGCAAGCGUUGUUCGGAAUUACUGGGCGUAAAGGGCGCGUAGGCGGCCUGUUAAGUCGAACGUGAAAUCCCCGGGCUCAACCCGGGAACUGCGUCCGAUACUGGCAGGCUUGAAUCCGGGAGAGGGAUGCGGAAUUCCAGGUGUAGCGGUGAAAUGCGUAGAUAUUGGGAGGAACACCAGUGGCGAAGGCGGCUCACUGGACCGGUACUGACGCUGAUGCGCGAAAGCGUGGGGAGCAAACGGG